rnacentral:rRNA from 1 species
AUGUUGGAGCUUGCAAUGUGGAAAGCGACCAUGGCUAGCAGCAGCCGCAUCCCAGCCAUGAGCCAUCACCUUGGGCGAGAUCUGUGUUGCCCAGCGUGCGGACUGGCUAGCGGCGGUGCUGGCCAUUGGCACGGCAAACCCGCCCCACUGCGUGCCGCAGGGCAUCGGCAUGCGUUUCUUCCACACACCGAUGAACUGCUCGCCACGCACCCGGACUUGUCCCUCGACGCCACCUCGGCUGCGGUGAAUGCAAUCGCCGAGUGGGGCUGUACGGCGGGCGACAUCACCCAUCUCGUCGUCAUCACCAACGCGGGAUCGCAUGCCCUGGGCACCGACGUCCGCUUGGUCUUGCCCUCCUGGUCUUGCCCUCCGCCUCGGCGUCCUGCGCAACUGAUGGUUUAUUUUUGA